GAAUUGCCCUUCUUCUUGCUUGUGUGGAUUCUUACCAGCUGAGGUACUAGGAUAGCCCACACUUUUUCUUGCUUGGCACCCCUUCAUCAUAACCAGUUAUCAGUAGACUGGCUUUGCUGAGCACGGCAAAUCCUCGGGCAGCUCAUGAUGGACCUCUCUGCCAGUGUGACACCUCACAGCAACGCGAGACCUUUCUCUUUGCACAGCAUGCUUUAAUCCAUGGCUGCCUGUUUUCAUAUUUGCUCAGUAAAUAGCCAUUGCCUUGUUCAGGACUCCUCUUCACAUGUAAGAAGCAUCUCCAAAAGCCAAUUGGAUCCUGUUAUUUUUUUCACCUCUCCUAGGC
ensembl:lncRNA